AGUUGCCAGUUGUUAUUAUUGUUACGGUGAAUGUGUCCAUAAAAAUUACACGUCUUAUCAUUCUGAGAAAUUAUUUCAUUGUUAUUUAUUUUACUUGUAAGUGUUCUUACGUUACGAAUUAGAAAUAUGUGUUUAGAGGAAAGUAGUUGUUGUGCUCAACCAGGUCAAUCGUAUUUUUUUAAACAAGAGCUCAUGAAGAAGAAACUGUGCUCAUAGACAUUACAACAGAUACGCAUCCUUCAGAGCAAUUUGGAAUGCAUGCCUUCAUAGCAUAGCACCCACAGACGUCCACUAGGUACUGGAUAUAAGCCUCCCCCAAGUUUCGCCACAACUGUCGGUACUGUGCUGCCUACGUCCCACGGAUCCCCGCGAGCCCAAUAGUUGGUCGGUCCGCCCUGUGGGACGUCUACCCAUGCUUCCAGUACGCAUUCGCCAUUCGAGAACCUUUAGUAAAAAUACAUAGGUUAUGGAAAAUGUUAUGGAAAAAGCGACAUCUAUAAAAUCAUAGAAGAACUACGUGUUGAAGUGCACACAAACCCGGUUGCUUCAUAAUUAAUGUUACCUUAAUUUGUACGCCAUCUGUGCUAUUUUACAUGAAGCUUUAGCAUUAAAUUCUUUGUUCGUUAAACUUUUAAAAGUUAAAUAAAUUGAAAGAGAGCAGUAAUUUGUUUUUGUGAACAAAAAGAGAUGGCGCUGAGCUAAAGAUGUUUUGAAAAAAAUUCUGCUUGAAAUUAAUACUCAAAAUAUGUACCCCUUCUUGAAUUUCUAUUAAAAUUUAACUUAAAAUAUUUGUGGACCUUGGUUUUUAUCAACAAAGACGAUGUACCUAGUAAUUCAUAAUAUUACGUUUAAGUAAAAAUUUUCAAAUGCGGCUUUAUCAGCAGGAAAGGUUAAUAAAUAUUAUUUAAUCUCGAAGAAGGUCAAUAAAAAUAAAAUAAGAAAUCAAUGGCUUAAUAUUUUUUAUUGUUCUGAAUUUGAAAAUGGCUGUAAAUCAAACAUUAACACAGUUCCCACAGUCAACUCGUAGUUCCUGCACCAAUACAAAGAUGGCACUAUUUACAAUAAAAUUAAGCCAGAUCCUUCAAAAUUAGCUACACAAUUGAAAAAAAAUAUGUUCUUUUUAUAGUUGAAAGAGAAUAUAAUAAUAUUAUGUAUAUAAAUUGAGUAUGUUCUAUUUUUUUAUUGCAAUAAAAAAUGGAAAAUUUA